rnacentral:rRNA from 1 species
UACGUAGGGUGCGAGCGUUGUCCGGAAUUAUUGGGCGUAAAGAGCUCGUAGGCGGUUUGUCGCGUCUGCCGUGAAAGUCCGGGGCUCAACUCCGGUUCUGCAGUGGGUACGGGCAGACUAGAGUGCAGUAGGGGAGACUGGAAUUCCUGGUGUAGCGGUGAAAUGCGCGGAUAUCAGGAGGAACACCGAUGGCGAAGGCAGGUCUCUGGGCUGUAACUGACGCUGAGGAGCGAAAGCAUGGGGAGCGAACAGG